rnacentral:rRNA from 1 species
UUUAUGGAGAGUUUGAUCCUGGCUCAGGAUGAACGCUGGCGGCGUGCCUAAUACAUGCAAGUCGAGCGAACGGACGAGAAGCUUGCUUCUCUGAUGUUAGCGGCGGACGGGUGAGUAACACGUGGAUAACCUACCUAUAAGACUGGGAUAACUUCGGGAAACCGGAGCUAAUACCGGAUAAUAUUUUGAACCGCAUGGUUCAAAAGUGAAAGACGGUCUUGCUGUCACUUAUAGAUGGAUCCGCGCUGCAUUAGCUAGUUGGUAAGGUAACGGCUUACCAAGGCAACGAUGCAUAGCCGACCUGAGAGGGUGAUCGGCCACACUGGAACUGAGACACGGUCCAGACUCCUACGGGAGGCAGCAGUAGGGAAUCUUCCGCAAUGGGCGAAAGCCUGACGGAGCAACGCCGCGUGAGUGAUGAAGGUCUUCGGAUCGUAAAACUCUGUUAUUAGGGAAGAACAUAUGUGUAAGUAACUGUGCACAUCUUGACGGUACCUAAUCAGAAAGCCACGGCUAACUACGUGCCAGCAGCCGCGGUAAUACGUAGGUGGCAAGCGUUAUCCGGAAUUAUUGGGCGUAAAGCGCGCGUAGGCGGUUUUUUAAGUCUGAUGUGAAAGCCCACGGCUCAACCGUGGAGGGUCAU